rnacentral:rRNA from 1 species
GGGUUGUGAGGUUAAGCGACUAAGCGUACACGGUGGAUGCCCUGGCAGUCAGAGGCGAUGAAGGACGUGCUAAUCUGCGAAAAGCGUCGGUAAGGUGAUAUGAACCGUUAUAACCGGCGAUGUCCGAAUGGGGAAACCCAGUGCAAUUCGUUGCACUAUCGUUAACUGAAUACAUAGGUUAACGAGGCGAACCGGGGGAACUGAAACAUCUAAGUACCCCGAGGAAAAGAAAUCAACCGAGAUUCCCCAGUAGCGGCGAGCGAACGGGGAGCAGCCCAGAGUCUGAAUCAGCUUGUGUGUUAGUGGAACGGUCUGGAAAGUCCGACGGUACAGGGUGAUAGUCCCGUACACCAAAAUGCACAGGCUGUGAACUCGAAGAGUAGGGCGGGACACGUGGUAUCCUGUCUGAAUAUGGGGGGACCAUCCUCCAAGGCUAAAUACUCCUGACUGACCGAUAGUGAACCAGUACCGUGAGGGAAAGGCGAAAAGAACCCCGGCGAGGGGAGUGAAAAAGAACCUGAAACCGUGUACGUACAAGCAGUGGGAGCACCUUCGGGUGUGACUGCGUACCUUUUGUAUAAUGGGUCAGCGACUUAUAUUCUGUAGCAAGGUUAACCGUAUAGGGGAGCCGCAGGGAAACCGAGUCUUAACUGGGCGUUAAGUUGCAGGGUAUAGACCCGAAACCCGGUGAUCUAGCCAUGGGCAGGUUGAAGGUUGGGUAACACUAACUGGAGGACCGAACCGACUAAUGUUGAAAAAUUAGCGGAUGACUUGUGGCUGGGGGUGAAAGGCCAAUCAAACCGGGAGAUAGCUGGUUCUCCCCGAAAGCUAUUUAGGUAGCGCCUCGUGAAUUCAUCUUCGGGGGUAGAGCACUGUUUCGGCUAGGGGGUCAUCCCGACUUACCAACCCGAUGCAAACUACGAAUACCGAAGAAUGUUAUCACGGGAGACACACGGCGGGUGCUAACGUCCGUCGUGAAGAGGGAAACAACCCAGACCGCCAGCUAAGGUCCCAAAGUCAUGGUUAAGUGGGAAACGAUGUGGGAAGGCACAGACAGCCAGGAUGUUGGCUUAGAAGCAGCCAUCAUUUAAAGAAAGCGUAAUAGCUCACUGGUCGAGUCGGCCUGCGCGGAAGAUGUAACGGGGCUAAACCAUGCACCGAAGCUGCGGCAGCGACACUAUGUGUUGUUGGGUAGGGGAGCGUUCUGUAAGCCUGCGAAGGUGUGCUGUGAGGCAUGCUGGAGGUAUCAGAAGUGCGAAUGCUGACAUAAGUAACGAUAAAGCGGGUGAAAAGCCCGCUCGCCGGAAGACCAAGGGUUCCUGUCCAACGUUAAUCGGGGCAGGGUGAGUCGACCCCUAAGGCGAGGCCGAAAGGCGUAGUCGAUGGGAAACAGGUUAAUAUUCCUGUACUUGGUGUUACUGCGAAGGGGGGACGGAGAAGGCUAUGUUAGCCGGGCGACGGUUGUCCCGGUUUAAGCAUGUAGGCUGAUUAUCCAGGCAAAUCCGGAUAAUCAAGGCUGAGGUGUGAUGACGAGGCACUACGGUGCUGAAGUAACAAAUGCCCUGCUUCCAGGAAAAGCCUCUAAGCAUCAGGUAACAUCAAAUCGUACCCCAAACCGACACAGGUGGUCAGGUAGAGAAUACCAAGGCGCUUGAGAGAACUCGGGUGAAGGAACUAGGCAAAAUGGUGCCGUAACUUCGGGAGAAGGCACGCUGGUGUGUAGGUGAAGCCCCUGCGGGUGGAGCUGAGACCAGUCGAAGAUACCAGCUGGCUGCAACUGUUUAUUAAAAACACAGCACUGUGCAAACACGAAAGUGGACGUAUACGGUGUGACGCCUGCCCGGUGCCGGAAGGUUAAUUGAUGGGGUUAUCCGUAAGGAGAAGCUCUUGAUCGAAGCCCCGGUAAACGGCGGCCGUAACUAUAACGGUCCUAAGGUAGCGAAAUUCCUUGUCGGGUAAGUUCCGACCUGCACGAAUGGCGUAAUGAUGGCCAGGCUGUCUCCACCCGAGACUCAGUGAAAUUGAACUCGCUGUGAAGAUGCAGUGUACCCGCGGCAAGACGGAAAGACCCCGUGAACCUUUACUAUAGCUUGACACUGAACAUUGAGCCUUGAUGUGUAGGAUAGGUGGGAGGCUUUGAAGCGUGGACGCCAGUCUGCGUGGAGCCAACCUUGAAAUACCACCCUUUAAUGUUUGAUGUUCUAACGUUGGCCCCUGACCGGGGUUGCGGACAGUGUCUGGUGGGUAGUUUGACUGGGGCGGUCUCCUCCCAAAGCGUAACGGAGGAGCACGAAGGUUAGCUAAUCCUGGUCGGACAUCAGGAGGUUAGUGCAAUGGCAUAAGCUAGCUUGACUGCGAGCGUGACGGCGCGAGCAGGUGCGAAAGCAGGUCAUAGUGAUCCGGUGGUUCUGAAUGGAAGGGCCAUCGCUCAACGGAUAAAAGGUACUCCGGGGAUAACAGGCUGAUACCGCCCAAGAGUUCAUAUCGACGGCGGUGUUUGGCACCUCGAUGUCGGCUCAUCACAUCCUGGGGCUGAAGUAGGUCCCAAGGGUAUGGCUGUUCGCCAUUUAAAGUGGUACGCGAGCUGGGUUUAGAACGUCGUGAGACAGUUCGGUCCCUAUCUGCCGUGGGCGCUGGAGAAUUGAGGGGGGCUGCUCCUAGUACGAGAGGACCGGAGUGGACGCAUCACUGGUGUUCGGGUUGUCAUGCCAAUGGCACUGCCCGGUAGCUAAAUGCGGAAGAGAUAAGUGCUGAAAGCAUCUAAGCACGAAACUUGCCCCGAGAUGAGUUCUCCCUGAGACUUUAAGUCUCCUGAAGGAACGUUGAAGACGACGACGUUGAUAGGCCGGGUGUGUAAGCGCAGCGAUGCGUUGAGCUAACCGGUACUAAUGAACCGUGAGGCUUAACCUUACAACGCCGAAG